CGAAGGGCUGGGAGCUGAGGUGCCCCGGUCUGAGGUGUUGAGGUCUCAGGACUGAGGGAUGGAAGAGAAGAGGAUCAAUCCCACACAAGUCAUUAUCGCAUUGCAACCUGAGACUGGAAAUGCCUGAGGGCGGGAGGCGUUUCUCCGAGUGGAGCUCAGUCAUCCUGCAGAGCAGGGCACCGGUCCAAGGCUGCGGAAACAGCACAACAAUAACCAACUGCUUUCUGGUUAAGAAAAACAAGAACCCCGUAACAACACAGUACUAAAGGCUGGCAAACCAGAGUUACUGCAGACUGAAGGACUGAUUGGUUUCACAUCCAAAGAAGCAGGAAAAAAAUUACUUCUGGUAAUACUGAAAGGAAUAAGGAAAGUACAAGCCUGGAAAAAGGCUGCACACAUUUACUGACAGAAGACAUAGUAACAAGUACUCAGAGGCUCAUGGAGAUGCUACAAGCUGUUGACUGAAUUUUAGGCCAGUUUAGACAUCACUCCUUCUGCCUUUCCAGAGCCCAUCAAUGUCUCAUUCUAGCUUCCAAGAGCCUGCGCCCAUCUCAAAAUAAAUUGGUCUCAACUUAGUGGAGAGGCUUGGACAUUGUGAAACCCAAAUGAAUGGGCAGCAGAAACUGGAGCCUUGAGAGGGAUCAGCAAAAGGAAACUCAUGCUCCUAUGAAGUGACAUUUUUACAGAGGAACCACGGGAUAGAAAGUUUAUGCCAAUGAUUCAGAAAGAAACUUCAGCAUCUAACUAGUAUCCUUUAGUUUGUAUCCACCAGUUUAUAUUGGGACU